rnacentral:rRNA from 1 species
UACGGAGGGUGCAAGCGUUAUCCGGAUUUACUGGGUUUAAAGGGUGCGUAGGCGGUCCAUUAAGUCAGUGGUGAAAGCUCCGAGCUUAACUCGGAAACUGCCAUUGAUACUAUUGGUCUUGAAUUCGGUCGAGGUUGGCGGAAUGUGUCGUGUAGCGGUGAAAUGCUUAGAUAUGACACAGAACACCGAUUGCGAAGGCAGCUAGCUAGACCGACAUUGACGCUGAGGCACGAAAGCGUGGGGAGCAAACAGG